UCCCGUGUGGUCUAGUGGCUAGGAUACGCGGCUCUCACCCGCGAGGCCCGGGUUCGAUUCCAGGCACGGGAA
rnacentral:tRNA from 1 species